rnacentral:rRNA from 1 species
UACGUAGGGUGCAAGCGUUAAUCGGAAUUACUGGGCGUAAAGCGUGCGCAGGCGGUUUGUUAAGUCUGUUGUGAAAUCCCCGAGCUCAACUUGGGAAUUGCAAUGGAUACUGGCAGGCUGGAGUAUGGUAGAGGAAGGUGGAAUUCCCGGUGUAGCAGUGAAAUGCGUAGAGAUCAGGAGGAACACCAGUGGCGAAGGCGACGUCCUGGACCGGCAUUGACGCUGAGGCGCGAAAGCCAGGGGAGCAAACGGG